UACGAAGGGGGCUAGCGUUGCUCGGAAUCACUGGGCGUAAAGGGCGCGUAGGCGGACUCUUAAGUCGGGGGUGAAAGCCCAGGGCUCAACCCUGGAAUUGCCUUCGAUACUGAGAGUCUUGAGUUCGGAAGAGGUCGGUGGAACUGCGAGUGUAGAGGUGAAAUUCGUAGAUAUUCGCAAGAACACCAGUGGCGAAGGCGGCCAACUGGUCCGAUACUGACGCUGAGGCGCGAAAGCGUGGGGAGCAAACAGG
rnacentral:rRNA from 1 species